rnacentral:rRNA from 1 species
AGCGAACGCUGGCGGCAGGCCUAACACAUGCAAGUCGAACGAACUCUUCGGAGUUAGUGGCGGACGGGUGAGUAACACGUGGGAACGUGCCUUUUGGUUCGGAAUAACUCAGUGAAACUUGUGCUAAUACCGAAUGUGCCCUUCUGGGGAAAGAUUUAUCGCCAUUAGAGCGGCCCGCGUCUGAUUAGCUAGUUGGUGAGGUAACGGCUCACCAAGGCGACGAUCAGUAGCUGGUCUGAGAGGAUGACCAGCCACACUGGGACUGAGACACGGCCCAGAAUACUACGGGAGGCAGCAGUGGGGAAUCUUGCGAAAUGGGCGAAAGGAUGAAGCAGCCAUGCCGCGUGAAUGAUGAAGGUCUUAGGAUUGUAAAAUUCUUUCACCGGGGACGAUAAUGACGGUACCCGGAGAAGAAGCCCCGGCUAACUUCGUG